AAAUUAUAGGAAGAUCUUGCAAAUAUCAAAGGGAAGCAAAGAGGUUUCAAGAAUAAUUAAAGCCAGUCAAACUUUUGACUGUUGAUUUUUGUGUAAUCAAGAGUUUAGAGAAGAAGUUGCAGGUACAAGUUCUUGAUGUGCAUGGAAAUCAUAAGCAUCCGGAUGGGAGUUUUCGUACACGAGUACUUUUUAUUUAAGUUAUCUUGAAUUUUAUAUUUGACUUUACUUGACCAAUGGGGUCAAGGUUUGACUUUUGAAGUGGGACUAGUAUGGGAUAGUCUCGGAGUUUGUAAUUCAUUUACAUACUUUCUUAUUUCCGUUGUAUUAAAGUAUUUUCAGUUUAUUUUAAAAGACUUCCGCUGUAUUAUCUGAUUAGCCUUA